rnacentral:rRNA from 1 species
AGCAGCCGCGGUAAUUCCAGCUCCAAUAGCGUAUAUUAAAGUUGUUGCAGUUAAAAAGCUCGUAGUUGAAUUUUAGGCCUGACCGGACGGUCCGUCUCUGGCGAGUACUGUUCUGCUGUCGGGUCUAUCCUUCUGGUGAGCCGGUAUGCCCUUUAUUGGGUGUGUCGGGGAACCAGGACCAUUACCUUGAAAAAAUUAGAGUGUUUAAAGCGGGCUUUUGCUUGAAUAGAUUAGCAUGGAAUAAUAGAAUAGGACGUUGGUUCUAUUUUGUUGGUCUAGGACCACCGUAAUGAUUAAUAGGGAUAGUUGGGGGCAUUAGUAUUCAAUUGUCAGAGGUGAAAUUCUUGGAUUUAUUGAAGACUAACUACUGCGAAAGCAUUUGCCAAGGAUGUUUUCAUUAAUCAAGGACGAAAGUUAGGGGAUCGAAGACGAUCAGAUACCGUCGUAGUCUUAACCAUAAACUAUGCCGACUAGGAAUCGGGCGACGUUAUUUUCAUGACUCGCUCGGCGCCUUAUGGGA